rnacentral:rRNA from 1 species
UACGUAGGGUGCGAGCGUUGUCCGGAAUUAUUGGGCGUAAAGAGCUCGUAGGCGGUUUGUCGCGUCUGCCGUGAAAGUCCGGGGCUCAACUCCGGAUCUGCGGUGGGUACGGGCAGACUAGAGUGCAGUAGGGGAGACUGGAAUUCCUGGUGUAGCGGUGAAAUGCGCAGAUAUCAGGAGGAACACCGAUGGCGAAGGCAGGUCUCUGGGCUGUAACUGACGCUGAGGAGCGAAAGCAUGGGGAGCGAACAGG